AUUGAACGCUGGCGGCAGGCCUAACACAUGCAAGUCGAGCGGUAGAGAGAAGCUUGCUUCUCUUGAGAGCGGCGGACGGGUGAGUAAUGCCUAGGAAUCUGCCUGGUAGUGGGGGAUAACGUUCGGAAACGGACGCUAAUACCGCAUACGUCCUACGGGAGAAAGCAGGGGACCUUCGGGCCUUGUGCUAUCAGAUGAGCCUAGGUCGGAUUAGCUAGUUGGUGAGGUAAUGGCUCACCAAGGCAACGAUCCGUAACUGGUCUGAGAGGAUGAUCAGUCACACUGGAACUGAGACACGGUCCAGACUCCUACGGGAGGCAGCAGUGGGGAAUAUUGGACAAUGGGCGAAAGCCUGAUCCAGCCAUGCCGCGUGUGUGAAGAAGGUCUUCGGAUUGUAAAGCACUUUAAGUUGGGAGGAAGGGCAUUAACCUAAUACGUUAGUGUUUUGACGUUACCGACAGAAUAAGCACCGGCUAACUCUGUGC
rnacentral:rRNA from 1 species